GACGAACGCUGGCGGCGUGCCUAAAACAUGCAAGUCGAACGGGGGAGCAAUCCCCAGUGGCGAACGGCGGAGUAAUACAUGAGGAACGUGCCCUGAAGACUGGGAUAGUCGUUGGAAACGACGUUUAAUACCAGAUGUGGCGGGAGCUUGGCAUCAAGCUUCCACUAAAAGGUUUUUCGCUUCAGGAGUGCCUCAUGGCCUAUCAGGUAGUUGGUGAGGUAAUGGCUCACCAAGCCGACGACGGGUAGCGGGUCUCAGAGGAUGAUCCGCUCGAGUGGGACUGAGACACGGCCCACACACCUACGGGUGGCAGCAGUUGGGAAUCUUGCACAAUGGGGGAAACCCUGAUGCAGCGACGCCGCGUGGAGGAUGAAGGGUCUAGGCUCGUAAACUCCUUUUAUGGGGAAAGACUUAGGACGGUACCCCAUGAAUAAGGACCGGCUAACUACGUGCCAGCAGCCGCGGUAAGACGUAGGGUCCAAGCGUUGUCCGGAUUUACUGGGCGUAAAGAGCGCGUAGGCGGCUCGUUAAGUGUGAAGUGAAAUCUCUAGGGCUCAACCCAGAAACUGCUUUACAUACUGGCGAGCUAGAGGGAUGCAGAGGUUUGUGGAAUUCCUGGUGUAGCGGUGAAAUGCGUUGAUAUCAGGAGGAACACCCAUGGCGAAGGCAGCAAACUGGGCAUCAUCUGACGCUGAGGCGCGAAAGCGUGGGUAGCAAACAGGAUUAGAUACCCUGGUAGUCCACGCCCUAAACGAUGGAUACUAGGCGUAAGAGGUAUCGACCCCUCUUGUGCCGCAGCU
rnacentral:rRNA from 1 species